UUAUUUUAUUUUUUUUUUUUUUUUUAGAAAAUUACAACUCGUAAACAGUUUGCCGGAUCAUAUAAGAAUGUACGGAUGGAAUAGAACUAGUUUUAAAAGUAAAGAGGAGGAGUACUUAAAAUCAAAUUUGUAGUUUUCGUGUUGGUCGACCUAUUUGACCUAUAUAUUUGCUUUUCGAAAGGCAAUUAUUCAAGGACAUUUAUUUCCUUUUAUACCGAAACCACAAUAUUAUCGAUACGCCGCCUAUAUGAAGGAGGAAAUUAAAAUAAAUGUAAAAGUUAAUAACAUGACCUUCACAAUAUAAUCAACUGCUUUAAUAAUAU